rnacentral:rRNA from 1 species
GACGAACGCUGGCGGCGUGCUUAACACAUGCAAGUCGAACGAAGUGGCGAACGGGUGAGUAACGCGUAAUCAACCUGCCCUUCUGAGGGGGACAACAGUUGGAAACGUCUGCUAAUACCGCAUACUGAAGCAUGCGAAUCCGUCUGAUUAGCUAGUUGGAGGGGUAAGGGCCCACCAAGGCGAUGAUCAGUAGCCGGUCUUGGAGGAUGAACGGCCACAAUGGGAAUGAGACCCGGCCCAGACUCCUAAGGGAGGCAGCAGGGGGGAAUCUUCCGAAAUGGACGAAAGGCUGACGGAGCAACGCCGCGUGAGUGAUGACGGCCUUCGGGUUGUAAAGCUCUGUUAAUCGGGACGCGGUACCGGAAUAGAAAGCCACGGCUAACUACGUGCCAGCAGCCGCGGUAAUUC